rnacentral:rRNA from 1 species
GAUGAACGCUGGCGGCGUGCCUAAUACAUGCAAGUCGAGCGAACAGACGCGGAGCUUGCUCCUCUGACGUUAGCGGUGGACGGGUGAGUAACACGUGGAUAACCUACCUAUAAGACUGGGAUAACUUCGGGAAACCGGAGCUAAUAUCGGCUAAUAUAUUGAACCGCAUGGUUCAAUAGUGAAAGACGGUUUUGCUGUCACUUAUAGAUGGAUCCGCGCCGCAUUAGCUAGUUGGUAAGGUAACGGCUUACCAAGGCAACGAUGCGUAGCCGACCUGAGAGGGUGAUCGGCCACACGGGAACUGAGACACGGACCAGACUCCUACGGGAGGCAGCAGUAGGGAAUCUUCCGCAAUGGGCGAAAGCCUGACGGAGCAACGCCGCGUGAGUGAUGAAGGUCUUCGGAUCGUAAAACUCUGUUAUUAGGGAAGAACAAAUGUGUAAGUAACUAUGCACGUCUUGACGGUACCUAAACAGAAAGCCACGGCUAACUACGUG